rnacentral:sRNA from 1 species
GUGUCUCUAAGGGUUCACCCAUUGGUA